ACACAUGCAAGUCGAACGAUGAAACCUAGCUUGCUAGGUGGAUUAGUGGCGCACGGGUGAGUAAUAUAUAGAUAACGUGCCUCUUAGUCUGGGAUAGCCAUUGGAAACGAUGAUUAAUACUGGAUACUCCUUCUCUUUAUAAUAAGAGUUGGGAAAGUUUUUCGCUAAGAGAUCGGUCUAUAUCCCAUCAGCUUGUUGGUAGUGUAAGAGACUACCAAGGCAAUGACGGGUAGCGGGUUUGAGAGGAUGAUCCGCCACACUGGUACUGAGACACGGACCAGACUCCUACGGGAGGCAGCAGUGAGGAAUAUUGCACAAUGGAGGAAACUCUGAUGCAGCAACGCCGCGUGGAGGAUGACGCAUUUCGGUGUGUAAACUCCUUUUAUAGGUCAAGAAAAUGACGGUAGCCUAUGAAUAAGCACCGGCUAACUCCGUGCCAGCAGCCGCGGUAAUACGGAGGGUGCAAGCGUUAUUCGGAAUCACUGGGCGUAAAGGACACGUAGGCGGGAAGCCAAGUCUGAUGUGAAAUCCUACAGCUUAACUGUAGAACUGCAUUGGAAACUGGUUACCUAGAGUAUGGGAGGGGGAGAUGGAAUUAGUGGUGUAGGGGUAAAAUCCGUAGAUAUCACUAGGAAUACCUAAAGCGAAGGCGAUCUCCUGGAACAUUACUGACGCUAAGGUGUGAAAGCGUGGGGAGCAAACGGGAUUAGAUACCCCGGUAGUCCACGCCCUAAACGAUGUUCACUAGUCGUCGGGAUGCUAGUCAUCUCGGUGAUGCACUUAACAGAUUAAGUGAACCGCCUGGGGAGUACG
rnacentral:rRNA from 1 species